GGGUGGAGUCUCUGGCCUCUGGCUUGUUGCACUGUUCUGUGUUUCUCCCUUCUGAGCUGUGUGCUCAAAGAACAGGAGUUUCUAAAUAGUGGAGGCUGGCCCAUCGGUCCAGGGGGCCGCAUAGCUGUGCUUCUGCGUGACAACCUCUAGAUCCAGCGCUCCUGGCCCGUUUGGAGGACAGCAUGAGUCCUCCAAAGCUUGCAAGACUCCGGACACAUCCGAACGAGGCACUGCAGGCCAGCCUGCUUUUCAUC
rnacentral:sRNA from 1 species